CCUUUCCACUUUAGUCACUGUGUUAAUAUUAUUCGGUAUUUUCGUGUAAAAGCACGAACGUUUCGUGUAGUCCACGCAUAUUCAUUCAUUAAAAGAAUCACGUUAAAUCAGUAAGCACUUGAGUGUUUUAGAUAUUGCUCUUCGUGUAUAUGUCGAUAUUAUGGAAGUAACAAACGUUGCGCGAGCCUUGUACGCGUACGACAGUAAAAAUGGCAUGAAAUUCGACGCUGGAGAACUUCUGAACGUAUUUGAAAAAGGUGAAGAUGGUUGGUGGUUUGGAGAGGUUCAACAAACAAAUACAGAAGGAUGGUUUCCCGCAACUUAUGUCUCAACUUUGGAACAGAAAAUUGUACAUGACAACACUCUUCCACCCAAUUGGAAAGCAUUUCAAACUGAUCAGGAAAAACCUACUAUGUCAAUUCAGUCAACGGAGAAAGAACAUGGUUACUUCCAACUUCAAACAAUAAUGUUUCAACAACUGAGACAGCUCAUGCUGACAAGUCAAAAGCUCCCGAACGAAAUGAAAAACGUAGCUUAAAGAAGAAACCUAGCUUCAACAAAAGACCCAGUACUAUGUUGAAAGGUUUCAUGGCGUUUCUCGUGCAGACUCUAAACAUGGACAGACAUUGUUCAAUCCUGGACAAUAUAGUUACUGCGAUCAUUUCUGGGAUGAUAGGAAUGUUAAUAAGACUGGACUUGACAUUCUUGUUGAUCGUUAUACAUUAUGGUAGAGAUAUGUGUAAGGAAAUGGCUGAAUUUAUAAAAAA